rnacentral:rRNA from 11 species
GUCUUCUGCCUCCAUACCCUAAAAGCACCAGAUCCCAUCUGAUCUUGGAAGCUAAGCAGAUUAAACUCUGGUUUGUAUUUGGAUGGGAAACAACCAACAAAUCCCAAAAUCCCCAAAGGCU